CAGGUUUUGCACAAGCAUGAGAGUCCAAACUGAGGGUGCUAGUUGUUCUGCCAGCACCCCAGAGGCCAAUGCUACGGAGCAGUUAGCCGCCAGCAGAGAGCCAGGAAAAUCCACGCCACGCUGCCAGUAAGUAGGAGUCUGUGCAUUUCUUCUUCUCCAUUUAACCGGGUAAAAGAGAGAGAUGUGCUCCAGCCACUGUCCUGCAUUGAUGCAGGAGCAUUCAGGCUAAAAAAAAAAGAGGGCUAUUUUUUCUCCUCUUCUCAGUAUGCUGACAAUAAAGAGCGUGAUGUAUUAUCUAGUGGCACCUGGGCUCUGGUGUAUGUCCACUGUCAUUGCCGUUGGGCUCAAAAGAAGCAGUGGGAGCUGAGGUGUUUCAUGCUCAUGAGUAAUGUAGCAUUUGUUGAACCACCUCAGGUCCUCACUGGAGUGAAUAAGGUGUGUCCUGAAUCCUGUAAGUAAUCCCAAAUGCUAAAAUUGAUGUAAUGGGGCUUAAAGUGCAGGAGCAGAAAAACGAGAAACCAACUCCAAGAGAAACCGACAGCCAGAUUUUAUCUUUCACCUUUCACCCAGCGAAGUAAUUAAAUAAGCCACUCAUCCCUUAAGACAGACACAGGUUUCUCCUUUGUGGCUAAUUACUGUGUGGAUUUACAAGUCAAGAUGGCAAAUGAAAAAAAAAAGGAAUUGAAUAAGCCUCACACCUCCUUUUCUGCCUGUUUCCUGGAAAGACAGGAAAAAUUGAAGGUGGAAAUAAUGACUCUGUCACACAAUCAUGACGCAUUAUGAAAUUUUCAUGACAAUGAAAAUUGGUGUCAAGAGACCAAAUUAACCGAAAAAUGCCUCUGUCUGUCACCCAACGUGGAGUUGGCUGCACAAGAAGGUGCAUGAGACUUCCCCAGCUGUCUGAUUCAGGGGCAGGGUAGUUACAGGUAUUUUAAUUCUUCAUCUGCUGCUCUUCAAAAAGAGAUAAUGUGCAUCUUACUCCCUCAAUAGUCUGCUUCGUAUUUACAUGUCCAUUUGAUAAAGUCCUAAUUUUAUUCUCUUUUUUUUUCACAACAGGCCUGACAUGCUUGUUAUAUGUUUUGUCUAAGCUACAGUACUGCCACCAGCUGGACUGAGAGCCCAUAUCAUAAUGCCAGGAUAUACCAGGAUGUAAACAAGCACAGAUAGAAGCAUCUCGUUGCACAGCAUGGUUCAGCAGUAUUUUAAUAAACAAUACUGAGAUAUAGUUUUAAGUCAGCAGUGUUUGACUGAACUAUAGCGUAUGGAGGAGUGGGGGCUGGUGGUGAAUUUCAGUUUCAACAGCUGGGGAAAUUCAUCACUUGACACACACAUAUGUAUAUAUACUGUAUUUGCAAGUCUACUCAUUCACUUUUUCAUUAUUUACAUGAGUGCAUCUGCCUGUGAUGUGAAUUAAAUGUAUUUUGUGUCUCUGCAGGUUUACUAAUGUGCAUCUCGUCUAUGAAAAGGACCCACUGUGCAGCACCUGGCCUGAGCGUCUGUCUAAUCAUGUAUCCUAUUGAACGGGGAGGAGAUGUGCUGCAGCAC